UACGGAGGGUGCAAGCGUUGUUCGGAAUUACUGGGCGUAAAGCGCGUGUAGGUGGGUCAAGAAGUCGGGUGUGAAAUCCCUCGGCUUAACCGAGGAAUGGCGCCCGAAACCAUUGAUCUUGAGGUCCGGAGGGGAUCGGGGAAUUCCCAGUGUAGAGGUGAAAUUCGUAGAUAUUGGGAGGAACACCGGUGGCGAAAGCGCCGAUCUGGACGGACUCUGACACUCAGACGCGAAAGCGUGGGUAGCAAACAGG
rnacentral:rRNA from 1 species